rnacentral:rRNA from 1 species
AACGAACGCUGGCGGCGUGCCUAACACAUGCAAGUCGUGCGAGAAAGUUCCUUCGGGAGCGAGUAAAGCGGCGCACGGGUGAGUAACACGUAGGUAACCUGCCCCCCAGUCUGGAACAACUAGAGGAAACUCUAGCUAAUGCCGGAUGAGACCACGAUCCCUUCCGGGGGUUGGCGGCCAAAGAAUGGCCUCUACUUGUAAGCUAUCGCUGAGGGAUGGGCCUGCGGGCCAUUAGCUUGUUGGUGAGGUAACGGCUCACCAAGGCUGUGAUGGCUAGCUGGUCUGAGAGGAUGACCAGCCACACUGGGACUGAGACACGGCCCAGACUCCUACGGGAGGCAGCAGUGGGGAAUAUUGCGCAAUGGGCGAAAGCCUGACGCAGCGACGCCGCGUGGGUGAUGAAGGCCUUCGGUCGGUAAAGCCGUCGUCGCAGGGAAGGAAUAAGACGAU